GUCCUGGCUGUAAACGAUGAGAACUUGGUGUGGCGGGUAUCGACCCCUGCCGUGCCGAAGCUAACGCAUUAAGUUCUCCGCCUGGGGAGUACGGCCGCAAGGCUGAAACUCAAAGGAAUUGACGGGGGCCCGCACAAGCGGUGGAGCAUGUGGUUCAAUUCGACGCAACGCGAAGAACCUUACCUGGGUUUGAACCGCAGGUGACAGCUCUUGAAAGAGAGUCUUCCUUCGGGACACCUGUAGAGGUGCUGCAUGGCUGUCGU
rnacentral:rRNA from 1 species